GUCACUUUUUCGUACUAGUUGCCUCACCAAUACUAACAAGCAAUAACGUCAUUAAUUUUCAAAACAGAGUUAUGGAGCCUUGAGCCUUAAAGUGUUGUCUCCGUGGUAACUCACGACACCGAAGUUCAGCCACCCGCAUCAAUAGCCUAUUCCUAGUGUUUAUAAAGUGCGUGAAGAGGAGGUGGACCGGACAGAUGAUUAGGAAAAAGGACUUUCUUCCGGUUUCAGAAAAACCCGUUUAGGCAGAUAAACAGGUCCAAUACAAUGAACGGAUGCAACAAAAGAGGAAAGAAAUAAAAUUGAAGAAGAAAAUCUUUCAACUACAGAAAAGCUAAAGCUUCGUCGUCGAACAAUGUGUCCUUUAAGAAUAACAUCUCGGACGUUAAAAUCUUCAACCAGAAAAUCAAGAAGGUACAGAAAAUAUCGUUACUGCUACGGUAGCUUGCUGUAGCCGAAACUUUGUGACUCGAAAUUGAGAACUUUCCCGGAAGAUGGAUAAUUUAGCUGCCUCAAGUCCUGGAAAACUAGUUCCUUCAGUUUGUUUAGCUGCUUGUAAAGGACAGCAUCCGGCAUUUGCUGUGGGAUUAACUAGUUAUGUCAACGAUGUCCUUGCUCUUUCAGCUGCUUCAGCAUUCUUUCCCUAGAGCCAUUGCCUUGCACUUGCGAUAACUCGACACAAACGAUAAGCUUCACUACAAAAAAACUAAUA